rnacentral:rRNA from 1 species
GACGAACGCUGGCGGCGUGCCUAAUACAUGCAAGUCGAGCGGGGAUUAUGCUUGAUCGCUUCGGUGAGACGGCAUAUAUCCUAGCGGCGGACGGGUGAGUAACGCGUGGGUAAUCUACCUCGUAGUUCGGGAUAACAGGCCGAAAGGCUUGCUAAUACCGGAUGAGUUCAUGCUUAUGCAUAUAGGCAUGAAGAAAGGGCUAGCCCGCUAUGAGAUGAGCCCGCGUCCCAUUAGCUUGUUGGUGGGGUAAUGGCCUACCAAGGCAACGAUGGUAGCCGGCCUGAGAGGGUGUACGGCCACACUGGGACUGAGACACGGCCCAGACUCCUACGGGGGGCAGCAGUAGGGAAUUUUCGGCAAUGGGGGAACCCUGACCGAGCAACGCCGCGUGAGGGAAGAAGGUCUUCGGAUCGUAAACCUUUGUCAUCAGGGACGAUCAUGACGGUACCUGAGGAGGAAGCCACGGCUAACACGUGCCAGCAGCCGCGGUAAUGUACG